AGGUACACUUAAAAUAUUAAUUCUAAGUGAUGGAAAAUGCUUGUCAAGCAUUAGACAAUGGAGACAACAGUGGGAACCUUAACAUGACCAUUUUUCGGCAGAUAAAGCAUGUUUACAUUUGUGAAGCAACAUUGUCAAAGUGGUUGAUUGAAUUUGAGAAUACUAACGCUGGAGCCUUAACGAUGGAGGAGUUUACGGAAAGGAGAGGGAGCUUCGAACUAGUUCACUAACUAGAAAACAACCAAAUACUGGGUCAAAAGAAACCAGCUUAGAUGAAGUGCUAUGUAGGCACAAGGAGAGAAAACCUUUUGCCUAUGGACUUUGUAAUGAAUGUUAUGAAGAGUUCAUGAAGGUUUCAGGAGGGCUCGAUGGAGGAUCAGAUCCACCUGCAUUCCAGCGUGCUGAGAAAGAGAGACUGUCAAAAUUAUCUAUUGAGGAAAAUGCUAAAGUAUGUUCUGUAAUCAUACUUUCUAAAGGUUUAAGGACAGUGACAAGUUGAAAAUCCUAAUUGUAAUCACUUGAUAUAAUUUACUUUGCGAGAGUCAUGUUGGCACUCAAGUUAUUCUCUCACAAUAC